AAACGGUGCAUGACUUGAAAAACUAACACUAAUAUUGCAUGACUUGAAAACUAACACCAAUAUUGCAUGACAUGAAUUUAAAAACGUUAUAUUUUUAUUUUUGGUUUGAUUUGUUUACAAAAAAACAAAGAAUGAAUUUAAAACAAUUUUUUUUUUGAAUUUUUUUUAACCAUUUGAAACUUUUUUUUUAAUAUAAAUAAGUCAAUAAAAUAGCCUAAUAUGUGAUAAUAUACUACAUUGAUAACCUAAUAUGUGAUAAUCUGAUAUAUAAAAUAGCCAAAUGUUAAAUAAUUAUUAAUUUCAAAAUAAUAU
rnacentral:lncRNA from 1 species